AGGAGUGAAGGUGAUACUGCUGUCUGACUGAAGGACCUUGGACAGAGCUGUUGCUGGCUGGCUGGCUGGGACUGGAGGGUGGGGAGGAGCAAGAAGCAGCUCCUGGCUGGCUGCUGGGACUCAGCCAGGACAAAGCCCUGAGACGCCGUGUGACUCAACUGGAGGCUGAGUCACUGAAGACCCACCAGAAACUGAGUGUAGAUACACACGCAUUGUACCAAGGGGGCACUUGCGAGAGGACUCUUCGUCUUCCCUGGAACUGAUGUCUGCUAGUGACAUGAGAACCACUUUCAUUUCAUCAAGGAAAGUGCAACAAGUAUUGGCGCGAUCAAACCACUCAAAGCGGCUUUUAAGCAUGCAAAGUUAACUGGCACGCUCUUUUUGCAGAGGGAGAGGAUCAUUAGUCCUCACAGAUUCCUCUAGCCUGAAUCAAGAGCCAAGGAAGAAAAAGGGGAGAAAAAUCAACUUCUGUUGAGAACUUUGUUUAAAGUGCAUCCAUUCAUAAUUCAUGUAUUAGAUCUCGUGGACGCUUGUUGCAAUAAAUUAUUGACCAAUCUCUCUAUUACAUGUUGAUAUGCAGAGUCUGUCCUGGGUAAUUAUAAAAUGUCACUGCCAAAGUUAAGCCACAGGAAGGUUAAUGGGGCAUCCCAACACGAGCUUUACAGUGAAAAUCAGCUACAUUAGCUUCUCUGUGAAAUGUUUAAAUUCAUUUCCCCCAUCUCCUCUGACAGUGGGUGUUUAGAAUGGAGUAGUAGAAGCACAGAGGCUGACCAGGAUACUGAAAAGCAAAGGGAUAUGAAACACACUUGCAUGUUAAUUCAUUUAUGUUCUGUAUUCAGAGCAUUAACCCUUAAAGCAAUCACAUCAGAGCAUCUGGCUGCCCUGUGGCAGGCAUAAGAACAAAAAAUACAUUGGAUUGAUUUUUUUUUAAGCAACUUUUUUAAACUAUACAUAGUGCAACUACUAUUCAGAGUAGGUCAGGAAAGCGACAGCGAAAGAAGUCUUAUACUUGCGCUCCGAUUCUGCUGUCAUUUAUAUUGGGUUUUCUGCUGCUGUAAAUCCACUGACUUCCUUGGAAGGUAGCUUUUAAUCGACUCCAAUGCAAGUAAGAGCAGAAUCUGGUCUCUUUCUGUGAGUUUCAUACCACAUAUUCUCAGUUUGGUACUAACUGCUAAAAGAAAAGAGACAGUUUUUCUAAUUGCCCGUACCAACCCAACAAAGUCAACCUGAAAUCUGAUUAUUGUGGUCUUCCUGCUUUGUGCUUCAUCACUGCUAAUAAAGAUGUAUCAAUAAGAAAAUACUGGACAAUUCUGAUUGAUUUUUACCAAGCAAGAAUAGAAACCACUUUAUUCUUAUGUGCUAAAAAGUAAAAUUAUAUAUAGUCAGUAAAGUAUGCAUAUAUAAUUCAUCUGAGCCCUGAAUCUUUUUUCAUUGCUCU